rnacentral:misc_RNA from 1 species
AAGGGUUAGUUUGUUGUAAAAUGUUGUUAAAUAAAUUCAAAUAGAUUUCAGAAACAUCAUAUUCAAAUUCGUUAGUUUUUGGGAUUCGCUUUUAUUUUGAAAUCGCGAUUUAGAAUGAGUAAACAGUCGAAAUCGAAAAAAAAUUCUCGCAAAAAAAGAUUGAAUCCUGCUAGUGAAGACGAGGAAAUGGCCAAAGAUAACCACAUGAACAUGAACCAUACCAUGAAUGCCAUGGGUAUGCAAAUGCGCUCGAUGAACCGCUUGAUGAACACAUUCAUGCCGGAUCCUUUCAUGCAGGGAUCGCCAUUCGAUCCUGGAUUCCAGCAGGGCGGCCCCCAUCAAAUGGCUGCCAUGCCCGCCAUGGGUAUGUUCGGCAUGCCUAUGAUGCCAAAUUUCAAUCGUUUGCUCAAUGCCGAUAUUGGCGCCAAUCCAGGAGCUUCGUUUUGCCAAAGCACCGUGAUGACCAUGUCAUCGGGACCCGACGGCCGCCCACAGAUCUACCAGGCCAGCACCAGCACCAAAACCGGCCCAGGUGGCGUUCGCGAGACCCGUAAAACAGUCCAGGACUCUCGCACAGGCGUGAAGAAAAUGGCCAUCGGUCAUCACAUUGGAGAGCGCGCCCACAUCAUUGAGAAGGAGCAGGACAUGCGCUCGGGCCAGCUGGAAGAACGUCAGGAGUUCAUCAACCUGGACGAGGAAGAGGCCGAGCAGUUCGACCGCGAGUUUACCACUCGCGCCCAUCGCGGAGGCGGUCCACACGGCCGUCAUGGUGGCAUGCAGGCCAUUCGUGCACCUCCGCCAGCCGCCUCGACCUCUACACUGACCAUUGAGCCUGUCGAGGAUGACGACGACGAUGAUGACUGUGUGAUCCAGGAGCAGCAGCCGCAGGGCCGCUCGUCCGCUGGCCGCCAGUUGCCAACGCUGCCAGCACCUUCAACGGCUCCGCACGGAAGCCGCAAUGCUACAGCAGCAGCAACAACAACAACCACAGAGUCGUGCUCCCCAACGGUACACGAUCCAUCGAACAACAACUACGUGAGCAUUGGAAAUUCGCGACGCGCCUACAUGCGCAAUGGGCAACACUUGGCCACUCCCCGUCGACCUCUGCGUACCCCCGCGUCCUCGCCGCUGGCCACGAUUUCCAGCGGCAGUCACAGCAUUGCAGCCACGCCAAGAGACUGGCGUCUAUAUAACUCCCGGUACCAUCGAAAGUAGAACAGAACUCAACCAAAGCAAUACAAAAACCGAAACUUAUUUUAAUCCAAGCAAACAAUAUUCAUAUGACCAUAUUUAACCCCAAACAACAACAUAUAAAUCAACGUAACGAUAAUGACAACAGCAUUCGGCGUUCUUCGAUCAUCGUGCGAUCCAAUACUAACCCCCGAUAUGACGUGACGCUCACGUUCGACGGCCGUCAUCAAUGCUACGCAUCAUCACAGCCACUAGCAACACCAACACCAAACCAACCAUCGUUCCGUCAACGCCAACGUGUGCCCACGCAAUGCAGCAGUUACGCCACGAGCCGUGCCACAUGCUAUGUCAAACAUCCACAUCCUUAUGCGGCACAUCCAAGGCGCCAGCAGCGCCCCAUGAAGAACAGCCACCACCACCACACAGAAAAUGGCGGCG